GUCGAGGGGCAUCGGGGAUGUUAGCUUGCUAAUAUCUGCCGGCGACCGGCGCACGGGUGAGUAACGCGUAUGCGACCUGCCCGUUACAGGGGGAUAAUCCGGAGAAAUCCGGUCUAAUACCGCAUAAUAUCGUGAAGCUGCAUGGUUUUGCGAUUAAAGGAGCGAUCCGGUGACGGAUGGGCAUGCGUGACAUUAGCUAGUCGGCGGGGUAACGGCCCACCGAGGCGACGAUGUCUAGGGGUUCUGAGAGGAAGGUCCCCCACACUGGUACUGAGACACGGACCAGACUCCUACGGGAGGCAGCAGUGAGGAAUAUUGGUCAAUGGGCUUACGCCUGAACCAGCCAAGUCGCGUGAGGGAAGACUGCCCUAUGGGUUGUAAACCUCUUUUGUCAGGGAGCAACGCCGGCUACGUGUAGCCGGACUGAGAGUACCUGAAGAAAAAGCAUCGGCUAACUCCGUGCCAGCAGCCGCGGUAAUACGGAGGAUGCGAGCGUUAUCCGGAUUUAUUGGGUUUAAAGGGUGCGUAGGCGGAAUGCCAAGUCAGCGGUAAAAUCGCGGGGCUCAACCUCGCUCCGCCGUUGAAACUGGCGUUCUUGAGUGGGCGAGAAGUAUGCGGAAUGCGUGGUGUAGCGGUGAAAUGCAUAGAUAUCACGCAGAACUCCGAUUGCGAAGGCAGCAUACCGGCGCUCAACUGACGCUCAUGCACGAAAGUGUGGGUAUCGAACAGGAUUAGAUACCCUGGUAGUCCACACAGUAAACGAUGAAUACUAAUUGUUCGGGGAGAAUGAUCCCUGAGUGAUACAGCGAAAGCGU
rnacentral:rRNA from 1 species